UGGGGCCUUAGCUCAGCUGGGAGAGCGCGUGCUUUGCAAGCAUGAGGUCGUCGGUUCGAUCCCGACAGGCUCCACCACGCUUUGCCCUUCGGGCUACGCGUGGCGCGGCCAAGGGAUCGUGACGCUGGAUCAACUACGCAGGAGCCGAAGGGCGGAGCGUGGUGCCCGGCGUAGCCA
rnacentral:tRNA from 1 species